rnacentral:rRNA from 1 species
UACGUAGGGUGCAAGCGUUGUCCGGAAUUAUUGGGCGUAAAGAGCUCGUAGGCGGUUCGUCGCGUCGGCUGUGAAAUCCCGAGGCUCAACCUCGGGUCUGCAGUCGAUACGGGCGGACUGGAGUUCGGCAGGGGAGACUGGAAUUCCUGGUGUAGCGGUGAAAUGCGCAGAUAUCAGGAGGAACACCGGUGGCGAAGGCGGGUCUCUGGGCCGAUACUGACGCUGAGGAGCGAAAAGCGUGGGGGAGCGAACAGG